rnacentral:piRNA from 1 species
UACAGCACUAAACAUUAAAACCACCGACCUGU